AGAGUUUGAUCCUGGCUCAGAAUCAACGCUGGCGGCGUGCCUCAGACAUGCAAGUCGAACGCGAAAGUCCCCUUCGGGGGACAAGUAGAGUGGCGCACGGGUGAGUAACACGUAGGUAAUCUACCUUCGGGUGGGGAAUAACAACCGGAAACGGUUGCUAAUACCGCAUAAUGCAGCGGCACCUAAUGGUGACAGUUGUUAAAGCGGGGGAUCGCAAGAUCUCGCGCCUGAAGAGGAGCCUGCGGCGGAUUAGCUAGUUGGUAGGGUAAUGGCCUACCAAGGCGACGAUCCGUAGCCGGCCUGAGAGGGCGGUCGGCCACACUGACACUGACAUACGGGUCAGACUCCUACGGGAGGCAGCAGUCGGGAAUUUUGGGCAAUGGGCGAAAGCCUGACCCAGCAACGCCGCGUGAAGGAUGAAAUCCCUCGGGAUGUAAACUUCGCAAGAACGGGAAGAAUAAGUUUGUGCUAAUACCACAAGCGAUGACGGUACUGUUUGUAAGCUCCGGCUAACUCCGUGCCAGCAGCCGCGGUAAUACGGGGGGAGCAAGCGUUGUUCGGAUUUACUGGGCGUAAAGGGCGCGUAGGCGGCCUCCGCAAGUCAGUUGUGAAAUCUCCGAGCUUAACUCGGAAAGGUCAACUGAUACUGCGGGGCUAGAGUACGGAAGGGGCAACUGGAAUUCUUGGUGUAGCGGUGAAAUGCGUAGAUAUCAAGAGGAACACCUGCGGCGAAGGCGGGUUGCUGGGCCGACACUGACGCUGAGGCGCGAAAGCUAGGGGAGCGAACGGGAUUAGAUACCCCCGUAGUCC
rnacentral:rRNA from 1 species